UGUCUACAGCCAUACCACCCUGAACACACCCGAUCUCGUCUGAUCUCAGAAGCUAAGCAGGGUCGGGCCUGGUUAGUACUUGGAUGGG
rnacentral:miRNA from 1 species